GACGAACGCUGGCGGCGUGCUUAACACAUGCAAGUCGAACGGAAAGGCCUCUUUCGGGGGGUACUCGAUUGGCGAACGGGUGAGUAACACGUGAGUAACCUGCCCUUUACUUUGGGAUAACUUCAGGAAACUGGGGCUAAUACCGGAUAGGAGCUCCUGCUGCAUGGUGGGGGUUGGAAAUUUUCGGCGGUUGGGGAUGGACUCGCGGCUUAUCAGCUUGUUGGUGGGGUAGUGGCUUACCAAGGCUUUGACGGGUAGCCGGCCUGAGAGGGUGACCGGCCACAUUGGGACUGAGAUACGGCCCAGACUCCUACGGGAGGCAGCAGUGGGGAAUAUUGCACAAUGGGUGGAAGCCUGAUGCAGCAACGCCGUGUGCGGGAGGACGGCCUUCGGGUUGUAAACCGCUUUCGCUCAUGACGAAGCUUUGUGUGACGGUAGUGGGUAAAGAAGCACCGGCUAACUACGUG
rnacentral:rRNA from 1 species